UACAGAGGGUGCGAGCGUUGUCCGGAAUCACUGGGCGUAAAGGGCGCGUAGGCGGUCUGCUAAGCGUGUGGUGAAAGCCCGGGGCUCAACCCCGGGUCGGCCGUGCGAACUGGUGGACUGGAGCUUGUCAGAGGCAGGCGGAAUUCCGGGUGUAGCGGUGGAAUGCGUAGAGAGUCCGGAAGAACGACCGGUGGCGAAGGCGGCCUGCUGGGACAGUGC
rnacentral:rRNA from 1 species